AGUGAACGCUGGCGGUAGGCCUAACACGUGCAAGUCGAACGGCAGCACAGUAAGAGCUUGCUCUUACGGGUGGCGAGUGGCGGACGGGUGAGGAAUACAUCGGAAUCUACUUUUUCGUGGGGGAUCACGUAGGGAAACUUACGCUAAUACCGCAUACGACCUACGGGUGAAAGCAGGGGAUCUUCGGACCUUGCGCGAUUGAAUGAGCCGAUGUCGGAUUAGCUAGUUGGCGGGGUAAAGGCCCACCAAGGCGACGAUCCGUAGCUGGUCUGAGAGGAUGAUCAGCCACACUGGAACUGAGACACGGUCCAGACUCCUACGGGAGGCAGCAGUGGGGAAUAUUGGACAAUGGGCGCAAGCCUGAUCCAGCCAUACCGCGUGGGUGAAGAAGGCCUUCGGGUUGUAAAGCCCUUUUGUUGGGAAAGAAAAGCAGCAGGUUAAUACCCCGCUGUUCUGACGGUACCCAAAGAAUAAGCACCGGCUAACUUCGUG
rnacentral:rRNA from 1 species